rnacentral:rRNA from 1 species
CCUACGGGUGGCAGCAGUGAGGAAUAUUGGUCAAUGGGCGUAAGCCUGAACCAGCCAAGUCGCGUGAGGGAUGACGGUCCUACGGAUUGUAAACUUCUUUUAUAAAGGAAUAAAGUGAGGCACGUGUCCCGUUUUGUAUGUACUUUAUGAAUAAGGAUCGGCUAACUCCGUGCCAGCAGCCGCGGUAAUACGGAGGAUCCGAGCGUUAUCCGGAUUUAUUGGGUUUAAAGGGUGCGUAGGCGGCCUGUUAAGUCAGCUGUGAAAGUUUGUGGCUCAACCAUAGAAUUGCAAUUGAUACUGGCAGGCUUGAGUAUAGUUGAGGCAGGCGGAAUGCGUGGUGUAGCGGUGAAAUGCUUAGAUAUCACGCAGAACCCCGAUUGCGAAGGCAGCCUGCCAAGCCGUGACUGACACUGAUGCACGAAAGCGUGGGGAUCAAACAGGAUUAGAUACCCGAGUAGUC